GACGAACGCUGGCGGCGUGCUUAACACAUGCAAGUCGAACGGAAAGGCCCUGCUUGCAGGGUACUCGAGUGGCGAACGGGUGAGUAACACGUGGGUGAUCUGCCCUGCACUUCGGGAUAAGCUUGGGAAACUGGGUCUAAUACCGGAUAGGAGCCAUCUUUAGUGUGGUGGUUGGAAAGUUUUUUCGGUGUAGGAUGAGCUCGCGGCCUAUCAGCUUGUUGGUGGGGUAAUGGCCUACCAAGGCGGCGACGGGUAGCCGGCCUGAGAGGGUGUACGGCCACAUUGGGACUGAGAUACGGCCCAGACUCCUACGGGAGGCAGCAGUGGGGAAUAUUGCACAAUGGGCGCAAGCCUGAGGCAGCGACGCCGCGUGGGGGAUGAAGGCCUUCGGGUUGUAAACUCCUUUCGCUAGGGACGAAGCGUUGUUGUGACGGUACCUAGAUAAGAAGCACCGGCUAACUACGUG
rnacentral:rRNA from 1 species